AUUGAACGCUGGCGGCAGGCCUAACACAUGCAAGUCGAGCGGAUGAAGGGAGCUUGCUCCUGGAUUCAGCGGCGGACGGGUGAGUAAUGCCUAGGAAUCUGCCUGGUAGUGGGGGAUAACGUCCGGAAACGGGCGCUAAUACCGCAUACGUCCUGAGGGAGAAAGUGGGGGAUCUUCGGACCUCACGCUAUCAGAUGAGCCUAGGUCGGAUUAGCUAGUUGGUGGGGUAAAGGCCUACCAAGGCGACGAUCCGUAACUGGUCUGAGAGGAUGAUCAGUCACACUGGAACUGAGACACGGUCCAGACUCCUACGGGAGGCAGCAGCGGGGAAUAUUGGACAAUGGGCGAAAGCCUGAUCCAGCCAUGCCGCGUGUGUGAAGAAGGUCUUCGGAUUGUAAAGCACUUUAAGUUGGGAGGAAGGGAAGUAAGUUAAUACCUUGCUGUUUUGACGUUACCAACAGAAUAAGCACCGGCUAACUUCGUG
rnacentral:rRNA from 1 species